AAACAAAAACACCACCAAGCAGCAGCAACAACAGCAAUGAUAACAUGAUAAUGAUCCCACAAGCUUAGCAAAUAAAAUGUUUUCCAGAAUAAAAUUGUCCAAAAAACCCCACAUCAUGGUGGGCAAUGAAAAGGUGUAGGUUCGGAACACCAAAGGUUCAUUCAGAAAAGUUGAGAAGACUAUUUUACCCCAUUAUACCAACUAAUGAUACUACUGCAACAGAUGAGCAGGUCCUAACCAUAAUAUCAUUAUUUACUAAAUGCUGUCUGUCUAAUCUCAGUGGCAAUGACAACAGGAUAGAAGAAUGUCUAUCCUAAAAUGUUAGAUAAAAACUUUAACAAAGAAAAAAACAGCAUUCAACAAUGAGAAAAUUUAAUAUACUUAUGCUUUUAAAGAUGAAUGUGCAGAAAUACAAUUACCUUUGAAUAAG
rnacentral:misc_RNA from 1 species